rnacentral:rRNA from 1 species
CCUACGGGCGGCAGCAGUGGGGAAUAUUGGACAAUGGGGGCAACCCUGAUCCAGCCAUGCCGCGUGUGUGAAGAAGGCCCUCGGGUUGUAAAGCACUUUCAGUGAGGAAGAACGCCUGGUGGUUAAUACCCAUCAGGAAAGACAUCACUCACAGAAGAAGCACCGGCUAACUCCGUGCCAGCAGCCGCGGUAAUACGGAGGGUGCGAGCGUUAAUCGGAAUUACUGGGCGUAAAGCGCGCGUAGGUGGCUUGAUAAGCCGGUUGUGAAAGCCCCGGGCUCAACCUGGGAACGGCAUCCGGAACUGUCAAGCUAGGGUGCAGGAGAGGAAGGUAGAAUUCCCGGUGUAGCGGUGAAAUGCGUAGAGAUCGGGAGGAAUACCAGUGGCGAAGGCGGCCUUCUGGACUGACACUGACACUGAGGUGCGAAAGCGUGGGUAGCAAACAGGAUUAGAUACCCCUGUAGUC